rnacentral:lncRNA from 1 species
GCCCGGCGGAGCUCUCGUUCCCCUGCGGGCAAGCUCUUCUCUCCGGCGAGGGGAGCCUUGAACGGGUUCUGGUAGCAUUCACUGGUCACUAGUUAUCUAUCCUUUUGUUUUAUUUUUUCUUGAUCCCCGGUGAGUUUUUUUUUUCCGAUUUCCAGGCUAGGGUUUUGCCCCCUUUGCCCUCCCGUGUAAGAUUUUCUUACCGCGUAGAUCGUGACCGGAUCCGUAUGGCCAUUGCUGCGGUUUUGAUUGAUCUAUGAGGGAGUCGUCCGAGCCGCGCCGGAUGCUUUGCGCUUGCAUUUUCCGUUCGGUGAUGAUACUCCGGAAUCUCGAAGAAUGUGUUUUCCUUUUUCCGUUUGGUGGCAUAGAUGCGUAUGCAUUAUCUGCCUUAUGGUUCAUUUCAAAGCCCAGGGCAUAAAACUUAUCAGGUCAUCUGCAGUUUUAAUGCGUUCCUUGCGUUCUUUUGCCAACUCUAAUGAUGUUUCUCGAAGUGGUUGAAAGAUGCUAGCUGCUGCGU